rnacentral:rRNA from 1 species
GUGUUCUACGGGACGCAGCAGUAGGGAAUAUUGCUCAAUGGGGGAAACCCUGAAGCAGCAACGCCGCGUGGAGGAUGAAGGUUUUCGGAUUGUAAACUCCUUUUGUUAGAGAAGAUAAUGACGGUAUCUAACGAAUAAGCACCGGCUAACUCCGUGCCAGCAGCCGCGGUAAUACGGAGGGUGCAAGCGUUACUCGGAAUCACUGGGCGUAAAGAGCGCGUAGGCGGGAGAGCAAGUCAGAUGUGAAAUCCUAUGGCUUAACAAUAGAACUGAAUUUGAAACUGUUAUUCUAGAGUAUGGGAGAG